GGCAGCGGGGAUGGGCAUCCGUCCCCGGACCAGAACCCCGUCGAUGUCGAACAGCAGCCCGAAGCCAGGCUGCAGCUGUGGAGGGAGACAGAACCGGGCUGUGACUGGCUCAGAACCUGCCGCCGCAGAAUGGUCUAAGUGCUGCAAAACAAGCUGGGAUCACUGGGUAUCGACCAGUGCUGCUCUGAGGCAGCGCACACGGAGCCGCAUCGUCUCCCUGGUGUUAGAUUCCCUGCUGCCUAAUUUGUGCCAGCGCAUCCCGGCGGAAAAGGCUGCACGCGACGCCGCCUGCGGCGUCCGUUCGCUACGUUGUAACGAGAAGAAGACCGAGACGAGACAACGGCAACCACACGUAUCGCUUUGUCAACAACGCAUUGUUUGCUGGAAGCGAUGCGCCGCAACAGCUUGAACCGUACCUGGCUAUUAGUUCCGCAAAAGCCGCACCGAGAACCGACAAGCGCCGCUUUUCGAGCGGCUGGACGGUUACUCAGGGUGCACAGGCCCCGGUAGAACGGCACGAGCCCCCUCAUGGCCUCUAUUUAGCACCGCACUCGGAGGAUAUGAUCCCAGCAAGCUGCGUGAAGCGCGAGCUGCGUGAAGCGCGAGCCGGCUCGCUCCGGCCGCGGAGGGUGCUCGGCUUGUUUUUCUCGCCUGUUAUUUGACUGGGCGAGACCCGGUGACGAAACAUGAGGAGUAGGAGGGUCUCGUGCUGCAUCUCCACCGGAAGGAGCCGGAGCGCUGCAUCUGCAGCGCGAGCCCCCAGCUGCCAUUUUAGACACCGAGGCAGAGCGAACCAUUUGCGCCCCGCGCCUCCAAGGAACACGAGACGCGGCUGCGGAAAUCUACGGGCUCACGGGCCAGAACCCCGAACCUCAGUCUCUGAUCCGCCCACUUUUCGAUAUAUCCCCGUUAAAAUAAGUCUUUGAUUCGCAGUAUGAGGCACAACAUGGAUACCGGGGUAACGCUCCAUUUUACGCACCAACCGUUGGCGCAGAAGUCGCUCGUUUUGUCAGCGCUCAUUAUGUGCUGCAUUAAAGCCAAAACACCAGGAAGCACCCGCCCCCCAUACGGCCCUUUAAUUAUUACAGGAAGUAAAUGUAUGGUUAAAAACAGAACAUGGAUCUUUACCAUUAUCCGACACAACCCAAAAUAUCCACACAGUGCACUCAAAUGAGACAAAGCUUCUCCUCGUGCUCCUCCAGCUUUAUUGAUAGUUUAAAAUUACAUUUUCUAUUUUCUAGGACUUCAGUUGCACUUUCCUUCCGACUUAAAAACUGAGUACAAGCAAAUGGUAUUUAUACAGUAGUCUAAGUGAUAUUGUACAAAAAUAACAUUUGAUUUCUGUGAAAACAUUAUUUUUCGUUCCCAAAUAACUCCUAAUUCUGCUGUUCUGACAACUGUUGUCGAUGUUAAAUUUUGCCAAGGUAAAAAAAACUCCAAAGCCAUUUUAAAAGGAAAAAUCUACCUUGGACUACCAAGUGA